rnacentral:piRNA from 1 species
UCCUUGUCAGUACCAGCUGGUGACUUUCCUAC